rnacentral:rRNA from 1 species
GAACGCAGCGAAAUGCGAUAAGUAAUGUGAAUUGCAGAAUUCAGUGAAUCAUCGAAUCUUUGAACGCACAUUGCGCCCGCCAGCAUUCUGGCGGGCAUGCCUGUUCGAGCGUCAUUUCAACCCUCGACUUCCCUUUGGGGAAAUCGGCGUUGGGGACCGGCCGUAUACCGCCGGCCCCGAAAUGAAGUGGCGGCCCGUCCGCGGCGACCUCUGCGUAGUAAUCCAACUCGCACCGGAACCCCGACGUGGCCACGCCGUAAAACCCCCGACUUCUGAACGUUGACCUCGGAUCAGGUAGGAAUACCCGCUGAACUUAAGCAUAUCAAUAA